AAUUUUGGACAAUGGGGGAAACCCUGAUCCAGCCAUCCCGCGUGUAUGAUGAAGGCCUUCGGGUUGUAAAGUACUUUUGCCAGAGAAGAAAAGGUAUCCCCAAAUCCGGGAAACUGCUAACGGUACCUGAAGAAUAGGCACCGGCUACCUAGCGGCCACCACCCCCGGUAAUACGUAGGGUGCAAGCGUUAAUCGGAAUUACUGGGCGUAAAGCGUGUGUAGGCGGUUCGGAAAGAAAGAUGUGAAAUCCCAGGGCUCAACCUUGGAACUGCAUUUUUAACUGCCGAGCUAGAGUAUGUCAGAGGGGGGUAGAAUUCCACGUGUAGCAGUGAAAUGCGUAGAUAUGUGGAGGAAUACCGAUGGCGAAGGCAGCCCCCUGGGAUAAUACUGACGCUCAGACACGAAAGCGUGGGGAGCAAACAGG
rnacentral:rRNA from 1 species